AUUGAACGCUGGCGGCAUGCCUUACACAUGCAAGUCGAACGGUAACGCGGGGCAACCUGGCGACGAGUGGCGAACGGGUGAGUAAUACAUCGGAACGUACCCAGUAAUGGGGGAUAGCCCGGCGAAAGCCGGAUUAAUACCGCAUACGACCUAAGGGUGAAAGAGGGGGAUCGCAAGACCUCUCGUUAUUGGGGCGGCCGAUGGCAGAUUAGGUAGUUGGUGGGGUAAAGGCCUACCAAGCCGACGAUCUGUAGCUGGUCUGAGAGGACGACCAGCCACACUGGGACUGAGACACGGCCCAGACUCCUACGGGAGGCAGCAGUGGGGAAUUUUGGACAAUGGACGCAAGUCUGAUCCAGCAAUGCCGCGUGCGGGAAGAAGGCCUUCGGGUUGUAAACCGCUUUUGUCAGGGAAGAAAUCUUCUGGGUUAAUACCUCGGGAGGAUGACGGUACCUGAAGAAUAAGCACCGGCUAACUACGUGCCAGCAGCCGCCGUAAUAC
rnacentral:rRNA from 1 species